rnacentral:rRNA from 1 species
GAGUUUGAUUCUGGCUCAGGAUGAACGCUGGCGGCGUGCCUAAUACAUGCAAGUCGAGCGAACAGAUAAGGAGCUUGCUCCUUUGACGUUAGCGGCGGACGGGUGAGUAACACGUGGGUAACCUACCUAUAAGACUGGAAUAACUCCGGGAAACCGGGGCUAAUGCCGGAUAAUAUUUAGAACCGCAUGGUUCUAAAGUGAAAGAUGGUUUUGCUAUCACUUAUAGAUGGACCCGCGCCGUAUUAGCUAGUUGGUGGGGUAAUGGCUUACCAAGGCAACGAUACGUAGCCGACCUGAGAGGGUGAUCGGCCACACUGGAACUGAGACACGGUCCAGACUCCUACGGGAGGCAGCAGUAGGGAAUCUUCCGCAAUGGGCGAAAGCCUGACGGAGCAACGCCGCGUGAGUGAUGAAGGUCUUCGGAUCGUAAAACUCUGUUAUUAGGGAAGAACAAAUGUGUAAGUAACUGUGCACGUCUUGACGGUACCUAAUCAGAAAGCCACGGC